rnacentral:tRNA from 1 species
GAAAUAUAAAACAAUUAAGCUUCUAACUUAAUUAAUAGUGAUUUAACCAUUAAUAUUUCU